UUCCCCUCUUCUUUUUUUUUUUUUUGGCAGGGAGGGUUACAAUGAUGCUUUUACAUAAUGCCUCAGCACGUUAUGAUAAUUAGUUUUGUGCGCUGUACAUCACAACUUGACUUCAAGGUUUAGUAGUACAUAGAAUUAUAAUGUACAUCUAAGAUAUAAGUAAAAUUCUCUCAAAUGAAGAAAUUACUCAAAGGCGGGCCCGGGGGGGGGGGGGGGGGG
rnacentral:misc_RNA from 1 species